AGUUGCUGAUUUUGGCCUUUCCUUGCUUGGACCUGCUAAUAGCAGUUCUCCAUUAGCUGAGUUACCAGCAGGGACGCUAGGGUACCUUGAUCCCGAGUACUACCGACUACAUUAUCUUACAAGCAAAUACGAUGUCUAUAGCUAUGGCGUUUUGCAUUUAGAAAAUCUCAGUGGUCAGAAAUGAGUACUACCGACUACAUUAUCUUACAACCAAAUCCGAUGUAUAUAGCUUUGGCGUUUUGCUUUUAGAAAUUCUCAGUGGCCGGAAAGCCAUUGACAUGCAAUAUGAUGAAGGCAACAUAGUCGAGUGGGCAGUCCCAUUAAUCAAAGCAGGUGAUAUUCAGACAAUCCUAGAUCCAGUCUUGAAACCGCCUUCUGAUGUUGAAGCUCUAAGAAGAAUUGCUAAUAUAGCCAGCAAAUGCGUGAGGAUGAGAGGGAAGGUGAGGCCAUCCAUGGACAAAGUAACGACAGCUUUGGAGCGAGCACUUGCUCAAUUGAUGGGUAGUCCGAGCAAUGAUCAGCCUAUCUUGCCAACGGAGGUUGUUCUAGGAAGCAGCAGAUUGCACAAGAAGUCCUCUUCAAAUGCAAUCCUAGAUCCAGUCUUGAAACCACCUUCUGAUGUUGAAGCUCUAAGAAGAAUUGCUAAUAUAGCCAGCAAAUGCGUGAGGAUGAGAGGGAAGGAAAGGCCAUCCAUGGACAAAGUCACGAC
rnacentral:lncRNA from 1 species